UACGUAGGUGGCAAGCGUUGUCCGGAAUUAUUGGGCGUAAAGCGCGCGCAGGCGGUCCUUUUAAGUCUGAUGUGAAAGCCCACGGCUCAACCGUGGAGGGUCAUUGGAAACUGGGGGACUUGAGUACAGAAGAGGAAAGCGGAAUUCCACGUGUAGCGGUGAAAUGCGUAGAUAUCAGGAGGAACACCGAUGGCGAAGGCAGGUCUCUGGGCUGACACUGACGCUCAUGCACGAAAGCGUGGGGAGCAAACAGG
rnacentral:rRNA from 1 species